CAUAGAUUCAUGUGCAGGCAACCUAUCAACUUCAUCUUAUAUAAAAAUCAUAUCUAAUUUAUUUUUAUAUGUAUCAACGCCAUGCAGGAAACCAGCUGGUUGCCCAGAGCAGGAUGAGUCUGUGGUGACCCCACCACGGACUACCACUUCAUCUUGGGACCCAGUUGAAGAAGAACUCACACAGAGGGAGGUGGCUCAGACAUGGAGAUCAAAAUGAGAGCAACUUUUCCUGUCGACCCUCGGUGGUUGUACUGGAGGUGAUACCGUCCGCCGCAUGCUGCGGCAAGAUGCAACGAAU